UGGGGAAUAUUGGACAAUGGGCGAAAGCCUGAUCCAGCCAUGCCGCGUGUGUGAAGAAGGUCUUCGGAUUGUAAAGCACUUUAAGUUGGGAGGAAGGGCAGUAAGCGAAUACCUUGCUGUUUUGACGUUACCGACAGAAUAAGCACCGACUAACUCUGUGCCAGCAGCCGCGGUAAUACAGAGGGUGCAAGCGUUAAUCGGAAUUACUGGGCGUAAAGCGCGCGUAGGUGGUUCGUUAAGUUGAAUGUGAAAGCCCCGGGCUCAACCUGGGAACUGCAUCCAAAACUGGCGAGCUAGAGUAGGGCAGAGGGUGGUGGAAUUUCCUGUGUAGCGGUGAAAUGCGUAGAUAUAGGAAGGAACACCAGUGGCGAAGGCGACCACCUGGGCUCAUACUGACACUGAGGUGCGAAAGCGUGGGGAGCAAACAGG
rnacentral:rRNA from 1 species